UACAGAGGGUGCAAGCGUUGUUCGGAAUUAUUGGGCGUAAAGCGCGUGUAGGCGGCUUUGCAAGUCGGGUGUGAAAGCCCUCAGCUUAACUGAGGAAGUGCGCCCGAAACUGCAGAGCUUGAGUACCGGAGAGGAUGGUGGAAUUCCCGAAGUAGAGGUGAAAUUCGUAGAUAUCGGGAGGAACACCGGUGGCGAAGGCGACUACCUGGCCUGUUCUUGACGCUGAGGCGCGAAAGCUAGGGGAGCAAACGGG
rnacentral:rRNA from 1 species